rnacentral:misc_RNA from 1 species
AGCGUUUUUGCAUUUCUCCAUCGCCUUGUGAGCCACCAUCGGUAUUUCCAUUUUCGUUUGCUACUUCCCAUCAUCACUAGUGCUUCCCUCAUAUGUCGCCGCACUAUCUCUAGUCUCGCUUGGCCGUUUGUGGCACUUCUAGCAUCUGAAUCUUUGGAUUUCUAGAUAUGACAUUGAAAUUCGCAGAUAUAGAGACUAGAGGA